UGUUCUCAUGUAUGCUUUUGUUUGCAAACAUUAAAAGCUUGAACUGAAUGUUGUGCGUUAGUCUCUUGACUGUUCUCACUGCCGGUGGAUACAGAUGAAAUUUCCACCACAGUAAACUUGGGGUAGCUGGCAGGAUCGCUAACUUAAGUCUUUCUUGCAGACAUAUGAGCAGGUUUGGAAUCUUGCACAGCUGGAGUCUGGGACCCGGAGCUUCAAUGCUCCCCCGAAAAAGCCGUAAGUGAAAGCAUCGGGGAGAAGAAAAUGAGCGCCUGUAUAAAAUGGUCUGUUGGAGACGAUUUAUACGGAUCCAAAGAACAAAAGGACGGUGAACUCCAUGACUGUGCGGCGACUGUAGAACAAAUUCUGACACCAAGACCCGUUCUACAGGCACAACCUCUCACCAAACCCGACCUGAUCUUGUUUCUGGAUGGAUCAGCUAAAAGGGACCCUGAUACAGGGACCCCACAGGUCGGCUAUGCAGUAGUAAUGCAACACACGUACCUACAGUCAGCUCACCUGCCAGGCUAUCUCUCAGCCCAGGCGACUGAGCUGUUCACACUCACUCAUGAUUGCAUCUUGGCACAGGACCGUUCGGCUACCAUUUACACUGAUAACAGGUAUGCAUUCAGGGUGGCGUAUGACUUUGGAGCCCUAUGGAAGAAUAGAGCCUUCUUUACAUCAACCGGGAAAUCUAUCACGCAUGCAUCACUAGUCAACAACCUAUUAGAGGCCAUUCUGUUACCAAAACAAAUUGCUGUAUGCAAGUGCGCUGCCCACACAUCUGGGGAUGACCCAGUCACCUAAGGUAAUAACUGUGCAGACACGGCUGCUAAAACUGCUGCAGGCAGUCUCGCUGCCCCAAUUUAGCAAAUCACAUUGUUAGCAGAGGAAGCUGCACUAUUCCAUACGCCUUUCACUUCCCUUAUAGAAUGUCAAGCGUAAGCGACACCUGCUGAAAAGCGCACAUGGGCGAAAGCAGGAACAAAGACUAUUGGUACGGGCCUUGUGGUAAGCCCUGCCUACCAAAAGCAUUCAAAAGCACCUUAUUUUGCAAGAGUGACACAUGGAAAGGAUCAUGUGUCAAAAGUGGAGAUGGCAGCAACAAUACAACAGCACUAGGCAACACAAGGCUUCUCAAAUUACUCUAAAUAUUUUUGUGAAAAAUGUGUUAUUUGUGCAACCCACAAUGUCGGUAGGGGCCAACCAGUCACCAAGUCCAGUCAUCCUGCUCCUACCGAACCAUUUGAACAUUUAAUGAUGGAUUUCAUUGAACUAACACCAAACAAAUGAAAGAAAUAUUGUCUUGUAAUUGUUGACAUGUUCUCUAAAUGGAUUGAAGCUUUUCUCUCAGCUAAAGCAGAUGCAUCAGCAGUUGCAAAGGCCCUGAUCUCGGAAAUACUGCCCAGAUGGGGAAUUCCGAGAAGAAUCCCCUCUGACAAUGGAUCACACUUUGUCAACCAUUGUCUCUCUGUUUAUUUAGGGUUUGACUUGAAGAACCACUGCGCCUAUCAUCCACAGAGUGGAGGAGCGGUAGGAUGUGCAAAUGGCACCCUAAAAAACAAAUUGACUAAAGUUACGACUGAAACGGGACUGGGUUAGGUAAAAGCCCUACUCCUGGUGUUGUUGGCAAUGAGGGGACGCCCUCAUGGAGCCACUAACCAUUCUCCCUUUGAAAUUUUAACAGGGAAACCAAUGAAAACGGGAGUGUCCGUGCCCAGACCCCUUAGCCUAGGGGCAGAGGAAAUGAGUAACCAGAUGCUAGAAUACUGUGUGCAUCUAACUAAAUCUCUCCAGUAUAUUCAUGCGCAGGUAAAAGAGGCGCUACUAAAACCAACAGAGGGACAACUACACAACCUCAGGCCAGGAGACCAGGUGGUGAUCAAGGACUUCCGACGCAACCACUGGCACCAACCCUGGUGGCGAGGACCAUUCCAGGUGCUACUCACUUCCAAAACAGCAGUGGAGGUCGAGAGCCACACAACCUGGGUGCACGCCAGCCACUGUAAACAAGCACCACCCCUGCAGGAAGAGGAAAAGACAGACUGAAGGCGUGAAGCCUAAAGUCAAAUGAGACAAGUGCUAGUAAGCUGUCCCCAAUGAUGCCUACCCAAACUUGCCACCCCAUGCGCCGCAUAGGGUAUGGCCUGAGAGCACGGAUUUGCUGCCUCAUCCUCAUCUCUGCCGCCAUCGUUCUCCCGCUUAUUUGGCUGGAGGAUAAUGUUCAGACGACCAACGGCAAUAGUGGUGUUUUUUGUACUGUGUUGUUGUUUGGCAUGCAUUAUCCCCUGUGUGCGAUCCUUGGUUUCUAAGAUGCUUAACAGUGCUGUACAAGGACAGUAUGUGCAGAUAGCAACAAAAGAGCCUGAGGACCCAGACGUAAAAGCUCUGGAGCCCCUUCCAGGGAAUCCUUUCCACGAUGAUGAUGAUUCUCACCAUUGGCCUGACCCUCACCAUUGGCCUGACUUGAACCCCAGACCCCCUUGGGUCCCCACUCCACCGUCCCCAAGUGAAUAUGACUCAGAUAAAGAAGGUACUCUUGUAUAAUGCUUAUACUGUGUGAACCAGCCAAUGUUGUCUAAUUUUUCUUUUGAUUGUAUAGUUAUCAUAAAAUGAUAAAAGGGGGGACUGGGAUAGAAAAAUUAUGCUUGUGUAUAUAUUGAUGAAAAUUGCUGGUUGGGGGGGAGGAAGCAUCGCGGAGCAACAUGCAGAGCAUCGCGUGCCUGAGGACGUGCCUGUUUGUCCUUCCUCAGCCAUCCAAUGUUGUACCCCCCAACCACAAGAAUUUAUCCUUGAUGCACACAGCUGCAAUACCUCAGAUAGCCUUUCUGCUUAUCAGCUUCAAACCGCCUAGCAUGAAUCAGCUGCUUUGCAAGACCCAAACCCCUAUAAAAGGGAAAGUCCUUGAGCUGCGACUCAGGGCACUGGGUAAGAGUGUUCUCAUGUAUGCUUUUGUUUGCACACAUUAAAAGCUUGAACUGAAUAUUGAA